rnacentral:misc_RNA from 1 species
GAUGAAGAACGCAGCGAAAUGCGAUACGUAAUGUGAAUUGCAGAAUUCAGUGAAUCAUCGAAUCUUUGAACGCAUAUUGCGCUCUCUGGUAUUCCGGAGAGCAUGCUUGUUUGAGUAUCAGUAAACACCUCAACUUCCAUAUCUUUUUUGAAAUGGGAGUUGGACUUGAGUGAUCCCAACGCUUUUCCUCACCGAAAAGUGGCUGGUUACUUGAAAUGCAGGUGCAGCUGGACUUUUCUCUGAGCUAUAAGCAUAUCUAUUUAGUCUGCCUAAAAAACAGAUUAUUACCUUUGCUGCAGCUAACAUAAAGGAGAUUAGUUCUUGUGCUGACUGAUGCAGGAUUCACAAAGACGGCUUCGGCCGACUUUGUAAACUCGAUCUCAAAUCAAGUAAGACUACCCGCUGAACUUAAGCAUAUCAAUAAGCGGAGGA